rnacentral:pre_miRNA from 1 species
ACAACAUUCGGACCGUCGGUGGCAUUAUCACCCGCUUGGUGGAAAAUCUUCCCUUUGUCGU